ensembl:lncRNA
CAGAAAUUAAACUAUAAGCUCAUAUGCUUCCAUACUUUAUUUCGAACGCAUGCAUGAAUAGUUGAAGGGUGUUGACGGAGAUCUGAUUUGAUUGUUAUCCUUUAGCGCAGUAUCACAGGAAAAGUCAGACACAGCUCAUCACUCGUCACUGACCGAACUUAAGCUGUACUUCGAGUCCAAUACGCGCUGCGGUUUUACACCCUCCGAUCUGAAUGCCCAGAGUUCUCCUCUCUCAGGCUCCAAGGGGACAGGAGGAGGAGCAGGGUGAUAUACACGGCUGUGAUGAUAACCAGCAUUUGAUUGUGAGGAAUUAUAGGUCUGGUGAACAAAAGGACUUGAGUUCUUGUAUGUUACAAUUACACCAUGAGUCGUUAAUCAUGA